UAUAAGAACUUAAACCGCAAC
rnacentral:snRNA from 1 species